UACAGAGGUCCCAAGCGUUGUUCGGAUUCACUGGGCGUAAAGGGUGCGUAGGUGGUCGGGUAAGUCUGAUGUGAAAUCUCCGAGCCUAACUCGGAAACUGCAUCGGAUACUAUUCGGCUUGAGGGUUGGAGGGGGGACUGGAAUACUUGGUGUAGCAGUGAAAUGCGUAGAUAUCAAGUGGAACACCAGUGGCGAAGGCGAGUCCCUGGACAACUCCUGACACUGAGGCACGAAAGCUAGGGGAGCAAACAGG
rnacentral:rRNA from 1 species